UGUUUUUUUUUUAUUUAAAUAAGUAUAAAAAUAUCACUUAGUAACGAGAGCAAGUCAACCAAUGAUAAUUAUUUACCAGUGGGGGCUCCUUUGCACAGGAUGCCGGCUAGAUUAUGGGUACCACAACGGCGCCUACUUCUCCCGUGAAGUAGUAAUGUGUAAACAUUACUGCGUUUCGGUCUGAAGAGCGCCGCAGCUAGUGAAAUUAAUGGGCAAAUGAGACUUAAUAAUGUCUAUCGGUGACGAGCCCAAUUAUAGUGCCGCUCAAUUUUUUUUUGGUUUUAUCAAGAUUCCCGGCGGCACUGCAUUGCAAUGGGCAUGGCGUAUCAAUUAUCAUCAGCUGAACGUCCUGCUCAUCUCGUCCCUUAUUUUCAUAAAAAAGAAAUUAUCAUCGCAGCUAACAACACAGAAAGCUGUACAUAGGUCUUGACAUGAGAUUUCCGUUGAUUGAAAAACCGUUUUAGUCAAAAUGAAAAUCACUUUAUUCAUCCAGAUCAACAAAAUGGCACUUUACAAGUAGGUACCAUUUCAUCAUUUGUCAAAAGGAUUUUUCUUUUAUUUACCAUCACUUUGGAAAUUAUUGAGCUCUAAUUAUAAGAGGUAAGAAUCGGAUUCCCACUCUUGUUAAUCAACAUUUACAGCUUCAUCAUUUUACAAUUUAUUUUAGUUACAUGUUCAUAAAUACAAGAAAAAUACUUAACAUCUAACACUUCACACGAGUAAGUACGAAUAUAAAUGUAAAUACAUAAAUAAAAGCACAAGAGAACAAUAGAUAAAUAAAUCCACACACACUGCAUACGUACAAAGCAGAGGUUAACUAACUGUCGUAAUAAAUAUACUAUACUAGCUGACCCGACAGACGUUGUUCUGUAUAUAAUAAAUAAAAUAAUGUUUUUAUAUAAAUUUGUCAAUAAUCAUAACAUCAAAAAUUACUUCGUAAAAUAUGCACCCUGCUGUCGUAAUGAAAUUGUUUCACAGCAGAACUGUCAAACCGUGCGUCAAUAAAUUCUCUCAUAGAAAAUAUGUAUGGAAACAUCAAAGGAAAAACAAAUUUGUUGUUUUAUUUAAUUUAGCAGCAUUUUCCUAUUUAUUCACCUUUUAAACCUUCUCUGGACUACCACAAAUAAUUCAAGGUACCAAAAUCAGCCAAAUCGGUCCAGCCCUUCUCGAGUUUAAGCGAGACUAACGAACAGCAAUUCAUUUUUAUAUAUAUAGAAGAUAGAAGAUUAAAGUAGGUAUUCUGCAAGCUGUCAAAACAGAAACACGUACUUAACAACGCUCCAAUAAAACAUAAAUAAAAUAAGUGAUUAAAUUGUGAUUUUAAAGUGUGAAUACGUGACUGGAUUGAGUUAAUGAUUUAAACUGAAGAUAAAACACCAACUAAAUUACCGUUUUUACAAGCAUUUACUUACGGUAAAAAUCGAGGGAGUCGUAUCAUUCUUUAUUUCACUAAACAGAGUUUCGAUUUUGGGAAAUUACAAGAUUUGAAACAAUUUAAAUUACCAUAUUCAACAACAAUAAAAAGCUGAAAAAAAGUCAAGCCUUGACACGUCAAGGCUCAUAUUCGUUUAUUUUUGUAAAAUUAUAUCUAUUACUAUAAAAUGGUAAAAUACAUCUAAAUUCUGUGCCAAUAAUUUGACAAAGCAAAAGAAGACCUGAUUGAUAUUAGAAACAAAGAAUAUACAAGUGCUUGAGUCUCGGUCUUCAGUUCGUGGAUUGCAUUUUGACAAGAAAAAAUAUUAUUAUCGAUUUUAUGGACAAGUGUUAUUAUCUAUUAUUGUGUGGUUCAAAGUCUUGAAAAUAUAAUUUCUAGUGACACAGCCAGCCCUAGCAAAAACGUCUCCAUGGCGCCCAGUCGUGGGUGAUGGUGCGACAGCGCUCUGUGUCCGCCGGCCAACCGCCGGCCCUGACGCCUGUCUGUUAUAGUGACAUUACUAAAAAGUGUUUUAUGUGUACAUUUAUAUUAUUGAUUUUGUUAGUUAUUUUGUGUUUUCAGCCACUGCAGCUAGGAUUUGGUUCGAAAGGCGGCUGCGAAGAUGCAGUACACGCGCUCCGUUCCUUUUUGAAAAAUGAUGAAGGUGAGGUGGUCUUGAAAGUGGAUUUAAAAAAUGCCUUCAAUUUUGUAAGUAGAUCAAGCAUUUUAACAGAAAUUCAAAAUUCGAUCCCAGAAACAUUUAGCUAUCUUUGGCAAUGUUAUGGUUCGGAGUCAAAAUUAUUUUAUAGGGACAAUGUUAUCCAGUCUUCUACUGGUUGUCAACAGGGUGAUCCACUCGGACCGGCAAUAUUCAGUCUCGCUAUACACCCAAUAAUUAAUUUACUAAACUCUAAAUUAAAUAUGUGGUACUUAGAUGACGGCACUUUAGGAGGUGAAACAAAUAUAGUUCUAAAAGAUCUCAGUUUUUUGAUAAAAAAAAGUUUUAUGAAAUUGGUUUAGAGCAAAAUUUUUCAAAGUGUGCACUUUUAAUCUCAGUUUUGGUACCUUUUGAUAGAAGAGAUGCGAUACUUAAACAAUUCAACAUUAUUGCCCCAAAUUUAAAAAUUAUAGAAAAGCAAUCUCUUCGCCUUUUCGUUGCACCAAGUUUGGAAGAGUCUUUCUCAGCAUAUAUAAAUGAACAAAAUUCAAAAUUUUAACAAUAUUCAGACCGCUUACUAUGCAUACAUUCCCACAUGGCCUAUCAUAUAAUUUGGAUUUGUCUCUUUGUCCCCAAGCUAACCUAUGUUCUCCGAUGUUGCCCUCAUUGGAAUCAUGAGAUACUUUUGUCAAGUUUGGACGAUUCUCUACGAAAUUUACUAUCAAAAAUAUUAAAUUGUUCAUUGUCUGAUAUUUAUUGGUGCCAGGCUUCUCUGCCCAUUCGUUUUGGUGGAAUUGGCAUCAGAAUAAUAUCUAGUAUAUCCUUACCAGCAUUCUUAUCUUCUGCUCACAAUCUCAGCACUUUAUAUGAUAAAAUUAUCUCUCCGUCAUCAGCCUGCCACUGGUGUAUGCGGAAACUGCUAAAACUGCUUGGAAAGUUGCCUGUCCAAGUAAAAAAUUCCCUUUAAACAUGCGAUCACAAAAGAUUUGGGAUGAGCCACAGUGCAAAAUCAUUCACAAAAGGAUAUUAUUAUCAAAUCACAAUACUUCGGAUCAGGCUCGUUUUAUUGCUGUUAGCGAACGAGAUUCAGGGUACUGGCUUCAGGCCACUUCUUCGAGUAACAUAGGGACACUUCUUGAUAAUUCCAGCUUCUCAAUCACAUUUGGUUUACGCCUGGGUAUCCCUAGAACAGUUCCCCAUAUGUGCCGCUGCGAGGCAAUGUAGACAGCCUUGGUCACUUUGGCUUAUCUUGCCGCCGCAGUGCGGGCCGUCUCUCACGCCAUGCCGCGUUAAACGACAUCUUGCGUCGGGCCUUUACUACCGUCAACGUGCCGGCUAUCCUAGAGCCGAAUGGAAUUUCACGUGAUGAUAGUAAGAGGCCUGAUGGCAUGACGUUGAUUCCUUGGAGUCGUGGAAAGCCACUGGUGUGGGAUGCGACUUGUGUGGACACGCUAGCCCCCUCUCAUAUUGAACAUUCAUCGAGAGCGGGAGAUGCAGCGGCGGAAUCUGCCGAAAACCUAAAGCGGAGGAAAUAUGCAUCACUCGGUGAUGGAUACAUAUUUGUUCCCUUUGGGGUGGAGACGAUGGGUCCUUGGAGUUCAUCGGCACAAAAACUCGUAAAAGAGCUAUCCAGGCGUCUAACCGAUUUAACAGGUGACCCAAGAUCUGGUACGUACCUAUGUCAAAGGAUAAGUUUGGCUAUACAAAGAGGUAACGUUGCCAGCUUCAUGGGCACCUUACCUGCCGAUAGCGAUCUGAAUGAUAUUUUCUAUUUGUAAUUAAUUAAUUUUGUUAGAUUAUUUAAGUUUUAUUUUAUUAUUAUUUAUAUAAAUAGCGUUAUUAAUUAUUAAGUCAUAUGUAAAUAAUUUGAAAUCUAUGCUAAUAUUAUAAAGCUGCAGUGUUUGUUUGUUUGUUUGAACGCGCUAAUCUCUGGUACUACUGGUCCGAUUUGAAUGAUUCUUUCAGUGUUGGGUAGUCCAUUUAUCGAGGAAGGCUAUAGGCUAUGAAUUGUUCAAAAUUAGGGAUCCGUAAUAAAAUUGCUAUUGUGUAACUUAAGGUGUAAAAUCGAAAACCUAUUUUUGCGUGCGCUGCAAAAACUAUUGACAAUAGAACAAAAUGAUGUACAGGCUAUAAUAUAGGCAAUAUUUUAUUACUUAUAAAACUAUCGCGUGAAUUAUACUUUAUAUGGCAAAACAACGUUUGCCGGGUCAGCUAGUAUUAAAAUAAGUUUGAAGUUAAAUAUUAUUCAGACAUAAAGAAUAAAAAAAAUCUGUUGUUGUUAACUAUCACAAAUUGAUAACAUGAGGGUAGUAGCAACAUAGUUUGACACGCAAUAAAAAGCUGAAGUGUGAAUACAUUGCGGUGAGAUAAAUUAAUAAUAAUUAUAAAAACAUAACAAUAAAUCAUUCAUGUUAUUAUCAUAUAAAUUUUGUGUUUGGAUGUCAAAGUCAAAAUUGUUAAACUGUGACAUAGAUCAACAAGACAUUUGUACGCUAUAGAGAGUGUAAAAGGGCUGGAGUUUAUGGCCUGGUAUCUAGACCUUUAAUCCAAAACGUAAAAGGGCUGCUCACUCUAUAGUGUUGCCAUUUCGAAAAUAUACUAUACAUACUACAGAUUUUAACAAUAAUCAUUUCAUUCGUUUUAUUUAAAAUCUUGCAAAAUGGAUGUACAAAUGCAAUUAUUAUUUUCAAAAAUGCAAACAGAAAUGAAAACCAAACAGAGGAAAUAACUAAUAGAUUAAUACAAUCAUUUGAAGGAAAAAUUUAUGUUUUACUAAAAGAAAAUUUAGGGCUACGCAAUACUGUGGAUGAAUUGAGUAACAAAGUUUGCAAAUUAGAUAUCCGACAAUACAAUUUGAUACUACACGGAGUUGAUGAAGUUGAAACGAACUCGAUGGAGCUAAAUGAACUAACUACCAAAGUCCUACGAAACAUGAAGCUAGAAUUAGGGCAUCUAGAAAUAAGAGCAGCUUAUAGUAUUGGAAAGAAAAAUGAGAAAAACAA